GACAGAGGCCUCAAGCGUUAGGCGGAAUCACUGGGCUUAAAGCGUGUGUAGGCGGACGCCUAAGUACCUUGUGAAAUCCCACGGCUCACCCGUGGAACUGCUGGGUAUACUGGGUGUCUUGGGCCAUUCAGGGGCAACUGGAACAAGCGGUGGAGCGGUGAAAUGCGUAGAUAUCGCUUGGAACGCCGAAGGUGAAAACAGGUUGCUGGGGGGAUGCGCCGACGCUG
rnacentral:rRNA from 1 species